rnacentral:rRNA from 1 species
UCAAGUAAUUAAGUGCAUGUGGUGGAUGCCUUGGCAGUCAGAGGCGAUGAAAGACGUAAUAGCCUGCGAUAAGCUCCGGGGAGGCGGCAAAUAUCCUGUGAUCCGGAGAUUUCUGAAUGGGGAAACCCACCUGUCAUAAGGCAGGUAUCGUAUGAUGAAUACAUAGUCAUACGAGGCGAACGAGGGGAAGUGAAACAUCUCAGUACCCUUAGGAAAAGAAAUCAAUUGAGAUUCCCUUAGUAGCGGCGAGCGAACGGGGAAAAGCCCAUUAAGUUAUAUAAGUUCUAGUGGAAUGCUCUGGGAAGUGCAACCAUAGUGGGUGAUAGUCCUGUACACGAAAGGGCUUAGAUAAUGAUGUCGAGUAGGGCGAGGCACGUGAAACCUUGUCUGAAUAUGGGGGGACCAUCCUCCAAGGCUAAAUACUCCUGACUGACCGAUAGUGAACCAGUACCGUGAGGGAAAGGCGAAAAGAACCCCUGUGAGGGGAGUGAAAUAGAUCCUGAAACCGCAUGCAUACAAGCAGUGGGAGCCGACUUGUUCGGUGACUGCGUACCUUUUGUAUAAUGGGUCAGCGACUUACAUUCAGUAGCAAGGUUAACCGCAUAGGGGAGCCGUAGAGAAAUCGAGUCUUAAUAGGGCGUUUAGUUGCUGGGUGUAGACCCGAAACCAGGUGAUCUAUCCAUGAGCAGGUUGAAGGUUGGGUAACACUAACUGGAGGACCGAACCCACUGUCGUUGAAAAGCCAGGGGAUGACUUGUGGAUAGGGGUGAAAGGCUAAUCAAACUCGGUGAUAGCUGGUUCUCCCCGAAAGCUAUUUAGGUAGCGCCUCGGACGAAUACCAUUGGGGGUAGAGCACUGUUUCGGCUAGGGGGUCAUCCCGACUUACCAAACCGAUGCAAACUCCGAAUACCAAUGAGUACUAUCCGGGAGACAGACUGCGGGUGCUAACGUCCGUAGUCAAGAGGAAAACAAUCCAGACCGCCAGCUAAGGCCCCAAAAUUAUAGUUAAGUGGGAAACGAUGUGGGAAGGCAUAGACAGCUAGGAGGUUGGCUUAGAAGCAGCCACCCUUUAAAGAAAGCGUAAUAGCUCACUAGUCGAGUCGGCCUGCGCGGAAGAUGUAACGGGGCUAAAACUAUAUGCCGAAGCUGCGGAUUUGCAAUUUAUUGCAAGUGGUAGGGGAGCGUUCUGUAAGCCGAUGAAGGUGUAUUGAGAAGUAUGCUGGAGGUAUCAGAAGUGCGAAUGCUGACGUGAGUAACGACAAUGCGAGUGAAAAACUCGCACGCUGAAAGACCAAGGGUUCCAGUCCAACGUUAAUCGGGGCUGGGUGAGUCGACCCCUAAGGCGAGGCCGAGAGGCGUAGUCGAUGGGAAAUUGGUUAAUAUUCCAAUACUUCUGUGUAAUGCGAUGAGAGGACGGAGAAGGUUAAGUCAGCCUGGCGUUGGUUGUCCAGGUGGAAGGUUGUAGGCAUGUAUCUUAGGCAAAUCCGGGGUACUCUAUGCUGAGAACUGAUAGCAAGCUGUACUUGUACAGUGAAGUGGCUGAUACCAUGCUUCCAGGAAAAGUCUCUAAGCUUCAGUUACACAGGAAUCGUACCCGAAACCGACACAGGUGGUCAGGUCGAGUAGACCAAAGCGCUUGAGAGAACUCUGCUGAAGGAACUAGGCAAAAUGGUACCGUAACUUCGGGAGAAGGUACGCUGCCGACGGUGAUAGGAUUUACUCCUUGAGCUAUUGGCAGCCACAGAAACCAGGCCCCUGCAACUGUUUAUUAAAAACAUAGCACUCUGCAAACACGAAAGUGGACGUAUAGGGUGUGAUGCCUGCCCGGUGCUGGAAGGUUAAUUGAUGGGGUUAGCGUAAGCGAAGCUCUUGAUCGAAGCCCCAGUAAACGGCGGCCGUAACUAUAACGGUCCUAAGGUAGCGAAAUUCCUUGUCGGGUAAGUUCCGACCUGCACGAAUGGCAUAAUGAUGGGGGCGCUGUCUCCAGCAGAGACUCAGUGAAAUCGAAUUCGCCGUGAAGAUGCGGUGUACCCGCGGCUAGACGGAAAGACCCCGUGAACCUUUACUGCAGCUUGACAUUGAACUUUGAUCUUACUUGUGUAGGAUAGGUGGGAGGCUUUGAAACCGAGACGCUAGUUUCGGUGGAGCCAAUCUUGAAAUACCACCCUGGUAAUAUUGAGGUUCUAACUCUGUCCCGUUAUCCGGGACGAGGACCAUGUCUGGUGGGUAGUUUGACUGGGGCGGUCUCCUCCUAAAGAGUAACGGAGGAGUACGA